AUGACUGGAGGAGCUUCACCUUCGUCUGGACCAGAAACAGCCGCCCUUCGCCGCAUCUUCCACCCCUAUCUCCAACGCCACCGUCUGAAACUCGAUGUUCCCCGUUUUGACGGCACCGACGCACACAGAUGGAUCUUUAAGAUCAAUAAAUUUUUCACCUACCACGAAACUCCCGAGGAAGAGCGCAUCACCAUCGCGUCCUUCUACCUUGAUGGACCAGCGUUGUCAUGGUACCAAUGGAUGUACCGUAACCACCAAAUCGUUUCAUGA